CUAACACAGCUGGGUCCUGGAAGGUCAGUAACACAGCCGGGUCCUGGAAGGUAAGUAACACAGCCGGGUCCUGGAAGGUAAGUAAGACAGCCAGGUCCUGGAAGGUAUGUAACACAGCCGGGUCCUGGAAUGUAACACAGCAAGGUCCUGGAAGGUAAGUAACACGGCCAGGUCCUGGAAGGUAAGUAACACAGCAAGGUCCUGGAAGGUAACUAACACAGCCGGGUCCUGGAAGGUAACUAACACAGCCGGGUCCUGGAAGGUUAG